UACGGAGGGAGCUAGCGUUGUUCGGAAUUACUGGGCGUGAAGCGCACGUAGGCGGCGACUCAAGUCAGAGGUGAAAGCCCGGGGCUCAACCCCGGAACUGCCUUUGAAACUAGGUUGCUAGAAUCUUGGAGAGGUCAGUGGAAUUCCGAGUGUAGAGGUGAAAUUCGUAGAUAUUCGGAAGAACACCAGUGGCGAAGGCGGCUCACUGGUCCGGUACUGACGCUGAGGUGCGAAAGCGUGGGGAGCAAACAGG
rnacentral:rRNA from 1 species